rnacentral:rRNA from 1 species
GCAUAUCAAUAAGCGGAGGAAAAGAAACCAACAGGGAUUGCCUCAGUAACGGCGAGUGAAGCGGCAAUAGCUCAAAUUUGAAAUCUGGCUCUUUCAGGGUCCGAGUUGUAAUUUGUAGAGGAUGCUUCGGGUGUGGCUCCGGUCUAAGUUCCUUGGAACAGGACGUCAUAGAGGGUGAGAAUCCCGUAUGUGACUGGAAGCCUUCGUCCAUGUGAAGCUCCUUCGACGAGUCGAGUUGUUUGGGAAUGCAGCUCAAAAUGGGUGGUAAAUUUCAUCUAAAGCUAAAUACUGGCCAGAGACCGAUAGCGCACAAGUAGAGUGAUCGAAAGAUGAAAAGCACUUUGGAAAGAGAGUUAAAAAGUACGUGAAAUUGUUGAAAGGGAAGCGCUUGCAACCAGACUUGCUCGCGGUUGCUCAGCCGGUGUUCUCACCGGUGCACUCUUCCGCGAUCAGGCCAGCAUCGGUUUGGGCGGCUGGAUAAAGGCUCUGGGAAUGUGGCUCCUCUCGGGGAGUGUUAUAGCCCAGGGUGCAAUGCAGCCCGCCCGGAUCGAGGACCGCGCUUCGGCUAGGAUGCUGGCGUAAUGGUUGUAAGCGACCCGUCUUGAAACACGGACCAAGGAGUCUAACAUCUAUGCGAGUGUUUGGGUGUCAAACCCAUGCGCGUAAUGAAAGUGAACGGAGGUGAGAACCCUUAAGGGUGCAUCAUCGACCGAUCCUGAUGUCUUCGGAUGGAUUUGAGUAAGAGCAUAGCUGUUGGGACCCGAAAGAUGGUGAACUAUGCCUGAAUAGGGUGAAGCCAGAGGAAACUCUGGUGGAGGCUCGCAGCGGUUCUGACGUGCAAAUCGAUCGUCAAAUUUGGGUAUAGGGGCGAAAGACUAAUCGAACCAUCUAGUAGCUG